rnacentral:rRNA from 1 species
UCGAACGGAAGUCGUUAUAAAAAGGAUUGAAGAUUUAUCUGAUUGAGAUCUUUUAACAAUGGCUUUAGUGGCGGACUGGUGAGUAACGCGUGAGCAACCUGCCUACUAGAGGGGAAUAACAGUGAGAAAUCAUUGCUAAUACCGCAUAUGUCAUGAACAUCACAUGAUGAAAAUGGGAAAAGAGUAAUCUGCUAGUAGAUGGGCUCGCGUCUGAUUAGAUAGUUGGUGGGGUAACGGCCUACCAAGUCAACGAUCAGUAGCCGGACUGAGAGGUUGAACGGCCACAUUGGGACUGAGAUACGGCCCAGACUCCUACGGGAGGCAGCAGUCGGGAAUAUUGCGCAAUGGAGGAAACUCUGACGCAGUGACGCCGCGUAUAGGAAGAAGGUUUUCGGAUUGUAAACUAUUGUCGUUAGGGAAGAUACAAGACAGUACCUAAGGAGGAAGCUCCGGCUAACUACGUGCCAGCAGCCGCGGUAAUACGUAGGGAGCAAGCGUUAUCCGGAUUUAUUGGGUGUAAAGGGUGCGUAGACGGGACAACAAGUUAGUUGUGAAAUCCCUCGGCUUAACUGAGGAACUGCAACUAAAACUAUUGUUCUUGAGUGUUGGAGAGGAAAGUGGAAUUCCUAGUGUAGCGGUGAAAUGCGUAGAUAUUAGGAGGAACACCGGUGGCGAAGGCGACUUUCUGGACAAUAACUGACGUUGAGGCACGAAAGUGUGGGGAGCAAACAGGAUUAGAUACCCUGGUAGUCCACACCGUAAACGAUGGAUACCAGGUGUAGGAAAU